UAUAAACAUAUUCCAAUACGUUUUGAUAUUAUAGCUACUUAAAAUCAAGGAGUGUUUUUGCGCCCACCCUGUAUAUUUUUCAAUCAUUUACUGGACUGUCAUG